rnacentral:lncRNA from 1 species
UUUUACAAAAAUCAGAGAUUUCUGCGAAAAUUGACAUGCAGUCGAAAUUAAAGUGAGGAAAUCACUUGGAGAAGCUUUUUGUAAAAAACAGUGAAUUUUAAUGCAUGAAACUGCGAAAUAUCCCUAUUGGAAGGGCUUAUAUGUAAUUCGGCUGUGUUGUGGAGCUGGGUGCAAGAAAAGGUGUAAGCUGCAAUUGUUACAUGAAUUAAAUGAAUGCGUGUGUGUGUGUAUAUAUAUAGUUAUAUAUACAUAUAUGGAGUAGGGCUACUAUACUCUUAUGAGUAUAGAGCCCUUACUAUUCAUAAGUUGUUUUCGAUGUUGGAGUUUUCGAAUCGACGAUCCACACCGCUAAACAUGAUCUAGAG